rnacentral:lncRNA from 1 species
CUCCAACCUUUAAACCAUACAGUACCAUAAACCCUAAACUAUCAUUUAAAACUAUUAUAUAAUAAAAUUUAAAGGUAAACUUAUCAUUUAAAACGUUUUCCACAAAAUAUCCCUUCAAUACAUUAAACAAUAUAACACCUUAUUAAUAUAUAAAAAAAUAUUUUUUAUCAAAAUCAAGAUAUCUAUUAUCGACAACAAUAAUUAAUUAUAGGGUUUAGGAUUAAUUUAAUUAUUGAAUAUGAUUCACUUGAGAUUAAUAUACUAUAUACCCAUGGC